ensembl:lncRNA
UGAAAAUGCAAUAGUGGAUUGUUUUAUUUGCUGUUGCAGAAAACAGAUACCUAAAAUAUUCUUAAGAACUUAACCCUGCUUUACCAGAUGACUCUACAUUACUCUUUACAUAUUUGGGAUUUAAAUGUUCCUUUCAGUACCAUUCAGUAAUGUAAUAUUUGAUUGCUAACCAAGUGCAAUAUACAGGCCUAUAUGUCUUCACAUAAACAUAUAGAAAAAUAGCUUGUGUUUUUCUCUAAGCUACAUUGCUUAUGCUGUGAUAAAGGUUCAAAACAAAUUAAAAUAUAAUUGAAAGAUGCAUUCUUCUUUUUCAAAACAUUUGUUUUUAUUGGACUCUGUUCUGUUUGCUUUUUUUCAGGGUGCUUCCUUAAACACAGAAGCAGGUAGAACAAAUUGAGUGGCUAAAACUGAAAGCAAAACUGCAGUUUAACAUCGUCAAAGAAAGAGCAUGAACAAUCGGCAAUAACCAGCAGGAUAUUUUUCAUGGCUUAAUAGAUUUCUAAACCGAAAGAAGAGUGACAGUGCUUCUAAAAUGAGUCUCAGUGAGAAGACAGAGGAGGGAUGUUCCCAGUGCUGGAGAUCUUCAGAUCCCAGCUGUGUGUCUGUGAAGAGUGACAGAUCCAUGGAUCCACCUGAUUAUCUCAAUGAUGAAGCAGUGACCACUGAUCCCAUGCCUGUUAUCUACACUGAGGGUGACACUACCUCUGAAAUGAGUCUCAGUGAGAAGACAGCCCUGUCAACAAUUUGAUCUCAUCAUGAGCUCCCAGGAGACUCGUGAUGUGGUCACAAUGAGCUAAAAGUGGAACCUCACGGCACCCUCAAUAUGUGCUCAUACUAAUGUGAGGUCAAAGUGCACUCACUGCAGAGAGACUAGUUACCCAGCAUGUAUUGCAGCAUGAAGCUUUUGAUUGUCAUUGUUGAGAUUCAGACACUGAUUCUUGAUGUCUCUUUGUGUCUAAACCUCACAGCAGUUCAAAAUGUAUGUGUUUUAUCAUGCUUUUAAAAUCCUUCAUAAAGGAUUAUGACACUGCUGGAUCAUAUACUGUAUAAUCCCAGAGCAAUUAUAAUUAAAAAUUUAAGAUUAAUAACGCCUCACAAAGA